UACGUAGGGUGCAAGCGUUGUCCGGAAUUAUUGGGCGUAAAGAGCUCGUAGGCGGUCUGUCGCGUCGGCUGUGAAAACCCGGAGCUCAACUCCGGGCCUGCAGUCGAUACGGGCAAACUGGAGUACUGCAGGGGAGACUGGAAUUCCUGGUGUAGCGGUGGAAUGCGCAGAUAUCAGGAGGAACACCGGUGGCGAAGGCGGGUCUCUGGGCAGUAACUGACGCUGGAGGAGCGAAAGCGUGGGGAGCGAACAGG
rnacentral:rRNA from 1 species